UUUUAGUGCAAUCAUGAGUUUACGUGCCCAACUUUGAUCGUUCGUUUUAUUUAAAUUUUUUUAUAAUUAGUAUUUUUGUUGUUAUGAGAUGAUAAAACAUGAAUAUUACUUUAUGCAUGACUUGUGUUUUAAAAUUUUUUAAUUUUUUUUCAAAUAAGACAGACGAUAAAAAAUGGGCACGGAAAAUAAUGGCUGCACUAAAG
rfam:Oryza rufipogon genomic scaffold, chr09